GAACGCUGGCGGCAGGCCUAACACAUGCAAGUCGAACGGUAACAGGAAGAAGCUUGCUCUUGCUGACGAGUGGCGGACGGGUGAGUAAUGUCUGGGAAACUGCCUGAUGGAGGGGGAUAACUACUGGAAACGGUAGCUAAUACCGCAUAACGUCGCAAGACCAAAGAGGGGGACCUUCGGGCCUCUUGCCAUCGGAUGUGCCCAGAUGGGAUUAGCUAGUAGGUGGGGUAACGGCUCACCUAGGCGACGAUCCCUAGCUGGUCUGAGAGGAUGACCAGCCACACUGGAACUGAGACACGGUCCAGACUCCUACGGGAGGCAGCAGUGGGGAAUAUUGCACAAUGGGCGCAAGCCUGAUGCAGCCAUGCCCGCGUGUAUGAAGAAGGCCUUCGGGUUGUAAAGUACUUUCAGCGGGGAGGAAGGGAGUAAAGUUAAUACCUUUGCUCAUUGACGUUACCCGCAGAAGAAGCACCGGCUAACUCCGUGCCAGCCGCCGC
rnacentral:rRNA from 1 species